ACCUCGUGGUUGGGACAUUUCAUAAGCUUCCCAUUAAAACUCUCCCAAACCUUAUAUAGAGGCUCUCCAUUCAAUUGAAGAAAGUUUGUGAUCUCAUCACAAAAUGU
rfam:Capsicum annuum cultivar Zunla-1 chromosome 7, whole genome shotgun sequence